rnacentral:rRNA from 1 species
UACGUAGGGUGCGAGCGUUGUCCGGAAUUAUUGGGCGUAAAGAGCUUGUAGGUGGCUCGUCGCGUCGGGAGUGAAAACCCGCGGCUUAACCGCGGGCCUGCUUUCGAUACGGGCGGGCUAGAGUUCGGCAGGGGAGACUGGAAUUCCUGGUGUAGCGGUGGAAUGCGCAGAUAUCAGGAGGAACACCGGUGGCGAAGGCGGGUCUCUGGGCCGAUACUGACACUGAGAAGCGAAAGCGUGGGGAGCAAACAGG